CUGCUCACUUUAGCAGCACAUAUACUAAAAUUAGUAUGAUAUAGGAAGAUUAGCCUGACCCCUGCACAAGGAUGACACACAAAUUUGUGAAGCAUUCAUAUUUUGU